AACGAACGCUGGCGGCGUGGAUAAGACAUGCAAGUCGAACGGAACGCUUUUGGUAGUAAUACUAAAAGCGUUUAGUGGCGGAAGGGUGAGUAACGCGUGAGUAACAUGCCCGGAAGUGGGGAUAGCUCGCCGAAAGGCGAAUUAAUACCGCAUGUGAUAGCAAUAUCAAAGCCGUAAGGCGCUUCCGGAUUGGCUCGCGGCCUAUCAGCUUGUUGGUGAGGUAAAAGCUCACCAAGGCUAUGACGGGUAGCUGGUCUGAGAGGACGACCAGCCACACUGGAACUGAGACACGGUCCAGACACCUACGGGUGGCAGCAGUCGAGAAUUUUUCUCAAUGGGCGAAAGCCUGAAGGAGCGACGCCGCGUGGAGGAUGACGGUCUUCGGAUUGUAAACUCCUGUCAUUUGGGAACAAAACUGUUAAAGGUCUGAUAGUACCAAAAGAGGAAGAGACGGCUAACUCUGUGCCAGCCGCCGCCGUAAUAC
rnacentral:rRNA from 1 species